GGAGAUGUGGCAGAGCGGCCGAAUGCACUCGCCUUGAAAGCGAGCGUCCCGUGAAACGGACCAGGGGUUCAAAUCCCUUCAUCUCCG
rfam:Corynebacterium argentoratense DSM 44202, complete genome.